UGAAAGGGUUAGUGUUUGGAGCGAAAUGGUCAUGUAUGAGGUCAUAAUUUAUUGACCUGAGACUCAUCAUUGUUAGUAAAAAGGAAGCACUAAGGCCACGCAGGUCGAGUGGAUGGUGAUUCCUUCAACCGUUCUGCACACGGAUGGAAGGAAGGAACCCUUCAUCCUGUUGACCCAUGUGACAAUUACACACAAAGAGCUGAAACUGGUCUAUUAUUAUGUUUAUUGAGCUACAGAUACAAAGUCAAGAACCAGAAGAGUGGUAGAUUUAAGAAUACUGUACCUAACAGCAGUUUGGGGAAGUUGGAGGUCUCAAUGUUGUGAUAAUAGAUGAUGGACGUGAUGCCAGCCAUGAAGGCCAGAGCGGCAGGCAUGUACAGGUGCAGAUGGAGCGACUGGCUGAACCUGCAAACACACAGAGGAGGCUGGCCUGUGGAGGGGAUCCGCCCUCAAACGUCCUCCGCCUGUAUCAGGACUCAAUUAAACGAAAGAAAACAAAAUAAUACAUCAUCGAUCACUGCUCAGCGUAAAUACCUACACCCUACCCAGGCUGUAACAACUAUAAUACCUGUACAGAGACAGGAGCAGGGUUAAUGACAUACCCAUCAGAGACGAUGCCCUCUGCGAUCUCACAGACAAGGACGAAGAGGAGGACGAAGGUCAGCAGCCAGCGCAGGUUGUGACCAGGGAAGUGGAGCCAGGUGCUGUGAUGGAUGUGGACCUUUGAGCUCUGGCUGCCCCAACCUCAAACCGGAAAUGAAGAAAGUCAGAGCUUCAGCAUUCCAACACGCACCGAGAGGCAGUAAAAUUUCGCACGGAGGAGAUGAAGUCAAGAAAACUGGAUUUUUUUUAUUUGGUUUUUUUCCCUACGACUGACCUGGGGACAGUUUUUAGUGCUCUGCAGCCCCACUGCAGCCUUGAGCACCAUGAUAAAGAGGUUUCAUACAGCAGAGCAACUAACAGGCCCCACACUGAAGGGAUGUUCUGCUGAGGAUCUUGUCAGCCUGCAAGACUCUGUUAACUCUUUACACACCAGCACACAUGAGCAGCAUAGAGACUGUUUAUGCCACUGUUGCCAUAGCAGCUCAUUUGUCCUACAUUCCCCCCACACACACACACGCAAACACACACACAGAGCCUAUAACCAUCUGCUCAAAUUUCUGCAAUAACUAUCAUUUGAG
rnacentral:lncRNA from 1 species